rnacentral:rRNA from 1 species
GAUGAACGCUAGCGGCAGGCCUAACACAUGCAAGUCGAGGGGUAGAGGAAGCUUGCUUCCUUGAGACCGGCGCACGGGUGCGUAACGCGUAUGCAAUCUACCUUUUACAGAGGGAUAGCCCAGAGAAAUUUGGAUUAAUACCUCAUAGUAUAUAUCAUUCGCAUGUUUGGUAUAUUAAAGUUCCAACGGUAAAAGAUGAGCAUGCGUCCCAUUAGUUAGUUGGUAAGGUAACGGCGUACCAAGACGAUGAUGGGUAAGGGUCCUGAGAGGGAGAUCCCCCACACUGGUACUGAGACACGGACCAGACUCCUACGGGAGGCAGCAGUGAGGAAUAUUGGUCAAUGGACGCAAGUCUGAACCAGCCAUGCCGCGUGCAGGAAGACGGUCCUAUGGAUUGUAAACUGCUUUUGUACGGGAAGAAACACUCCUACGUGUAGGAGCCUGACGGUACCGUAAGAAUAAGGAUCGGCUAACUCCGUGCCAGCCGCCGCAGUAACAC